rnacentral:lncRNA from 1 species
UGCAGUGAGUUCAUGGAAGUGCUUUCCAUUUUGACUCUUGCAGUGAUCAUCAGCUCCGCAUCCCGUGACGUUUUCGUAUGCACUGUGAAGGCUACUGGAGGGUGGACAGAUGGCUUCAUCUUGAGAGAUGCAGAGACAUCCAUGCAGAGAUAGCUUGCUGCCUGCCGACGUGCUUUGUCUCGCGGCACCCACGCAGCACCUUCUAUGCACCAAGGACCCAGCACUCAGCUCCUGUAUUUCAUCCCAUCCCUGCUGAUGUGAAGUCUCACCCCUGGGGUGUCACAGUGGCAGCACAUGGGGGCUCGUAUCUGCAGCUGUGGCAGGUCCCUGUGGGCAUCAAGUCCCACGGGGGGAUGCUGAUAGUAACCCUAGCUGUGUGGAGAGAUGCCUGUAUCUUUAGCACCCAUCCAAACACGUGGCUACUUCCACAGCCUUUGUGUCCUUUUACACAUUGCAUCCUAUGCUGGCAUCUCAAAGGUUAGAAGGGACCUUAAAAUCCAUCCAGUUCCAAUGCCCCUGCCAUGGACUGGGUCACCAUCAACUAAACCAAGUUGCUCAAAGCCCCAUCCAGUCUCUCCUUGCUCAGCAUGUAUAGAAAAUGUUUGGCGUGCUUAGGGAAUUUUUGGCACGAUCACCAACUGAUGGUAGGGUUGGGAGGGAUUCUGGAGAUUCUAGCCUCUGGGUCAACCUCAGGCUACCAUAGUAUCAGUGGGUUUUGUCUCACCAUCCCUGGUGCCAGCUGUGGGCAGCAUGAUGGACCUGUGGUACUGUGUUAACUCCCAGGCAAUUGGCACCUCCCUGGCCUCAGCCCCACAGAGUGGUGGGCACAGAGGAGGUAGCACCCUGCCACUCUGCCUGUCCCUACUGUGAGGGCUGACCCAGUCAGAGACCGAGAAAAGAGAUGGUGGUUUUUAAGAGCAACCUCCUAAGCCAUCCCAGACCCUCUGUUUGUUUGUUGUUGUUGUUCUUAAUUUCUGAAAAUAUGGUGUUUUAGGAUAUCGUUGCCUUGCUUCUCCUUUCUCCUGCUGGGAGAGCCAGGACUGAUGACUCAGAAAUUGCUAAAAACAUCACGCUCAGCACUGCCACAAUCAGGAGACUGGCUUAAAAAUCAUGAGAUUUCUACAAAACAGAAAUCAAUUCUUUUCCCUUGUCCUCUGGUGUUUUUGACACAGAGGUCAACUCUUCAGCCCUCAUCUCUGAGGAACGCGUUUCUUAUAUUUUGUUUGUUCUUAAUGAAAAAUAAGGUUGCUGGCUUGUCUCCAGCAUGCUUGGCGUGAGCACUGCACAGAGUCCUGUGCCUCUCCCAUGGAAAAUGUGCAUCUAAGCACAUCUAAGCACAGGGAAAUCAGGGAAGAGUGGAUGCAAGCAAUCAACUCUGCACCAUUAGCACUUCUCUGUGACCAGGCAGUGCUGCAGCGUGUCCAGAUCCGGGGAGCCAGGCUGCCUCCAGGUCCCAUGACUGCUUGCCAACAGGAAAAAUGAGUGAACGUUCCCUGGCUGUUUUUCAGGGCUGGAUAUUGUACUUUAAUGAACAAUCAGAAGGCAACUAGCUGGAAAAUAACUGGACCUUUAACAGCCUUGGUGCUUAAUUUACCAUGUACUUUUUCUUACGUUCUCCCUCUCAUUGCUGACAUUAUAUCAGCAUGGCCGCCUCUCUGACACCAGUUUUAUUCAAAUAUUGCUGUUUCAUCUUGCCUUUGUUUCCCCGGGCUAUUUGUCCAUCCCUGCCUCACCUGUCAGAGCGGCCCAUUGCUGCCUCCUCCAUCCCAGCCCAUUAGCAGGGACGACUCUAUCUCCAUGCUCACUUCCAUCUCACAAACCAGCUCCUCCAUGGGAUCCAGGGCUGCUCACCACAUCGGCGGCUGCUCGGUUGGAGUCGUUUGAAUCCAUGAUUUAUGUGUUCUUCACACUUUAAUUGCAUGGCGGAAUCUCUCACUCUGGCAGUGUCUAAUCUCCCGACAUUUCACAUGCUCUGCCUGUGCAGUGGUGGAAGAUGAAUAGCCCAUUCAUGUGGGGAGUGCUUCACAUCCAGAUACGCUGACUUACAAUGCUGAUAGACUGGAGCGAGAGAUGAAGGAUAGCAGCAGGGACUGGGUAACUUGUUGUGCCUGGCAAACCUCAUUGAUUCCAAAAUAAAACGCGCUCUGUGUUUAUCUGUAAAUGAUGG